rfam:Ciona savignyi cont_50541, whole genome shotgun sequence.
GCCCGGUUAGCUCAGCCGGUAGAGCGUUGGACUUUUAUUCCAACGGUCAAGGGUUCAAGUUCCUCAUCGGGCU